CAGGCCUAACACAUGCAAGUCGAACGGCAGCACGGACUUCGGUCUGGUGGCGAGUGGCGAACGGGUGAGUAAUGUAUCGGAACGUGCCCAGUAGCGGGGGAUAACUACGCGAAAGCGUAGCUAAUACCGCAUACGCCCUACGGGGGAAAGCAGGGGAUCGUAAGACCUUGCACUAUUGGAGCGGCCGAUAUCGGAUUAGCUAGUUGGUGGGGUAACGGCUCACCAAGGCGACGAUCCGUAGCUGGUUUGAGAGGACGACCAGCCACACUGGGACUGAGACACGGCCCAGACUCCUACGGGAGGCAGCAGUGGGGAAUUUUGGACAAUGGGGGAAACCCUGAUCCAGCCAUCCCGCGUGUGCGAUGAAGGCCUUCGGGUUGUAAAGCACUUUUGGCAGGAAAGAAACGUCAUGGGUUAAUACCCCGUGAAACUGACGGUACCUGCAGAAUAAGCACCGGCUAACUACGUGCCAGCAGCCGCGGUAAUACGUAGGGUGCAAGCGUUAAUCGGAAUUACUGGGCGUAAAGCGUGCGCAGGCGGUUCUGAAAGAAAGAUGUGAAAUCCCAGAGCUUAUCUU
rnacentral:rRNA from 1 species